UGUUAAAUUUGGUAUACGAUCACUGCUUAUAUUUAUACCAAAUCCUUUGCAGAUUGUAUUUGUAGGACAUAUAGUCUAAACUGAAAAAUAUGCCAAAGUUUUAUUUUGAAUCACCAAUGGUCAUGCCAAGUAGAGCAAUGCUAAUUCAUUUGACAGUCUUCUAAUUAUGCAUUUAUUUUAAUCUUGAUCCUUCCAGGCAUGGGUCACACUUGGCAGAGCACAACUUAAUUUUGGUGAGCCUGAUAAUGCUAUUGAAAGCUUUGACCGUGCUUUAGCUCUCAAGGUGUUCAUUCAGUUAUUUCUUUGAUUCUUGCUUUCAUUUUGGACCGUGCUGCUCAUCAUCACAGAUGGAUCGAAGUUGGAUGAAUGAAAGUCGCAUCAGCCCAGAAUAUGAGGAAGGCGUCGAGCAAUUCUUACAAUUUGCUUCACAAAGAGGUCAACCGGAUGAAGAUGGAAAAUAUUAUUGUCCUUGCAUCAAUUGUUUGAACGGAAGACGACAAAUACUGGAUGACAUACGAGAGCAUCUGUUGUGUGAUGGAAUU